GCAGUCGAACGAGAAAUCCUUCGGGAUGAGUACAGUGGCGCACGGGUGAGGAACGCGUAGGUUAAUCUACCCUCUGGCGGGGGACAACAUUCCGAAAGGAAUGCUAAUACCGCAUAUGACCACAUGUACCACGGUACGAGUGGUAAAGGGCGCCUCAAAGCGUCACCAGAGGAUGAGCCUGCGUCCCAUCAGCUAGUUGGUGAGGUAACGGCUUACCAAGGCGAAGACGGGUAGCUGGUCUGAGAGGAUGAUCAGCCACACUGGCACUGGAACACGGGCCAGACUCCUACGGGAGGCAGCAGUGAGGAAUUUUGGGCAAUGGGCGCAAGCCUGACCCAGCCACGCCGCGUGUGUGAUGAAGGCCUUCGGGUCGUAAAGCACUGUGGAGAGGGACGAAAACGUGCAGGAGGAAAUGCCUGCGCCUUGACGGUACCUCUUUAGCAAGCACCGGCUAACUCUGUGCCAGCAGCCGCGGUAAUACAGAGGGUGCAAACGUCGCUCGGAUUUACUGGGCGUAAAGCGCGUGUAGGCGGGUACGCAAGUCGGUUGUGAAAUCCCUGGGCUCAACCUAGGAACUGCAUCCGAAACUGUGUGCCUUGAGUAAUGGAGAGGGUGGCGGAAUUCCCGGUGUAGAGGUGAAAUUCGUAGAUAUCGGGAGGAACAUCUGUGGCGAAGGCGGCCACCUGGACAUUUACUGACGCUGAGACGCGAAA
rnacentral:rRNA from 1 species